GACGAACCGUGCGAACGUUAUUCGGAAUCACUGGGCUUAAAGCGCGUGUAGGCGGGUGGGAACGUCGGCCACUGAAAGCCCCCGGCUCAACCGGGGAAGGGGUGCCGAAACGGCCCGCCUGGAGGGGCGUAGGGGGACCUGGAACUUCCGGUGGAGCGGUGAAAUGCGUUGAGAUCGGAAGGAACGCCCGUGGCGAAAGCGAGGUCCUGGACGCCUACUGACGCUGAGACGCGAAAGCCAGGGGAGCGAACGGG
rnacentral:rRNA from 1 species